rnacentral:rRNA from 1 species
GGGGCCCGCACAAGCGGAGGAACAUGUGGUUAAUUCGAUGAUACGCGAGGAACCUUACCUGGGCUUAAAUGUAGAGUGCAUUUUCUAGAGAUAGGAAUUCCCUUCGGGGCUUUCUGCAAGGUGCUGCAUGGUUGUCGUCAGCUCGUGCCGUGAGGUGUCGGGUUAAGUCCCAUAACGAGCGCAACCCUUAUCGUUAGUUGCCAUCUGGUAAAGCAGGGGACUCUAGCGAAACUGCCACCGUAAGGUGAGAGGAAGUGGGGAUGACGUCAAAUCAGCACGGCCCUUAUGUCCAGGGCUACACACGUGUUACAAUGGCCGGUACAGAGGGCAGCUACCUGGUGACAGGAUGCUAAUCUCGAAAACCGGUCUCAGUUCGGAUCGAAGUCUGCAACUCGACUUCGUGAAGCUGGAUUCGCUAGUAAUCGCGCAUCAGCCAUGGCGCGGUGAAUACGUUCCCGAGCCUU